rnacentral:rRNA from 1 species
AGGGUUUGAUCCUGGCUCAGGACGAACGCCGGCGGCGCGCCUAACACAUGCAAGUCGAACGAGAAAGAGGGAGCUUGCUCUCUUGAUCGAGUGGCGCACGGGUGAGUAACGCGUAUGCAACCUGCCCGAUACCGGGGUAUAGCCCAUGGAAACGUGGAUUAACACCCCAUAGUACUUUUAUCCUGCCUGGGAUGUGAGUUAAAUGUUCAAGGUAUCGGAUGGGCAUGCGUCCUAUUAGUUAGUUGGCGGGGUAACAGCCCACCAAGACGAUGAUAGGUAGGGGUUCUGAGAGGAAGGUCCCCCACAUUGGAACUGAGACACGGUCCAA